GCGAACUAUCUUGACCAGUAAAAUGUUCUUGAAAGCACAACCUGAACUGAAAUGUUUGUCACGCUCUCAUCCCCAUCGAAACCAGGAACACAAAGCACAUUGCAGAUACAGAUACAGAUACAAAUACAGAUAGAGAUGCGGAUGCCCAGUGAUAAGGAAAGACAGCGACGAUCUCAAUCUCGCAGCGACCACGGGGAUCUCUGAAAAGGGUCGUCAUAUAUGAAGUGAGCACCUCGGGCAGCCCAACAACCACCGAAAUAAAAGCAGAGAACUCUGUAAGGGGUCGGGCAGUUUAUGCUUUUUUAGUAUUCUUCAGUUUCGUCGAGUAUCUAUAUAUACAUAUUUAUGCUGUUCGUAUUUGGGGAACCUUCGAAAUGAAUGUCCAAAAUGAGUGGUAGAGAGGUUGGCGGUUGAGGACGAGACGACAGCCGCAUUUGGAAACAGACAACGCAAAUCAAAUAGUAAAAGUGUUAAAGGCUGACACAUUCAAGUGUUUGACGCGUCCCCACCAAAAAAUUAUGUGGCGGCUUGACUCCAUGCCAGUUGGCUACUGUUUCGCCUUGGCACGCACACACACACACACAGGGAAUGGGAGCCCUGGGAUCGUUUUGGAUGCGGGGACUUGGACUUAAUGGAUCCGCGAACCUGAAUCUCUGGAGGGAAAUUGGCAACAACAGCUGCGGAUGCUGGCGAAUCAAUUAGCCUGCCAUAUAACAUUGGAGACGGCGAACAUUUUAUGCAAAAUCGGACACGACUUUGCACUAAAAAUGAAGCGAUCCCGCAGAGAAACUUUGACCAGGCUGGCCAAAAAGGGAGGAGCACUAUAAACAUCACUACUGAUCUUGAAAGUUCGCCAUUUACAUAAGAAAUUUAAGGAGGUAAAAGAGUUGGACAAACAAUAUACUUAAUGGCAGAAUGAAAUAUAUAAUAUACUUAAGCCAAACUUAACCAUUCAUAAUAAAAACUAAUCCUCUGUAAGCUAGAGACUCUUUAGCAAUGUCGAAUGUUACUUCCUGAGGCAGUUCUUCUUUGAAGAGACUCAAGGAGACUGUCAAUGCAUAUGCAGAUAUAUGAACACUGUCAGUCAUCUUGCAGUUUGGCGCAGACAUUGCAGACAUUCAGUCCAGCGGAGCUGGCCAGCUCCGCUUGCCGCCGCAGGAAGAUGCUGGCCAGCCCGGAGUCAGCCAUCCCAAGUUGCCAGCCAGCAAAGCGCGAAAUUUCUCGUACGUGUGCGAUGGUCCCGGCAUCGGCGGAAUGGAGUCAAGGAAGUCAAGAGGAACUGUGGAGAAUUGCGAAAUAUUCUGCGGCGUUGUUAUCGCCGCCUUUGGAUCGCUAAGGUUGAGGCUCCGCAAGCGGAAUGCGACGCACAAUUAAUCAUAUCUGAAUAUAUUGCGCCCUUUGGUGGUAUAAAUCUUGCUGGGCUUUAAGUCCAGCUCACUCUCUCUCUCUCGGAGGAAACUUAACAAAAUAAUAAAAAAUGAAACGAGAAGAAAAUAAAAAAUAAGAACUGCGCAUUUAAGCGCUUCACGCGCAUGCGCAACCAAUCGCUUGAUUAGUUCCCAAACUCGAGGCUCAGGGAUUAGCUCAUAAAAAAUAAAGUGAACAGGAAAUAAGCUUAGGAGGUAAUGGCAUCCGAAUGGUGCGGAUCAACAUUCCAUCCGUCUGGGCCAGCUUAUUAUAGCUCGUAAUGAGCGUUCCCAGCUGCAUUUCUGCAGCCCAUUUGCCAAUUAAAUGAAAUUAAAGUCAUAUCUGGCAAUUGCUCUCGCUCGACGCGUCUUGCCUUCUGGGACUGAUGAGGUGUCGCCAGUGGGACGCGUAAUUAACCCCAUGGAUACUGGUCUCUAUGCCACAUCCAAAGACCAGAGCAGCAGCAGACUCUUCUAAUUAAAUUGUGCUGGCUACUUUUUAAUUAAGUACACACUGGCAGGCAUCCAACAUUUAUAGAACUGCCACAUGGGAUCGGUGGUAAUAUAAGGGCCUGACGAAUGCUAGAAUCAAAUCAAGGAAAGUCUACGUAGUUAAUUAAAGCAGUAUUGCGAAUAUUUUUGAUAAGCAAACUGCCUUCAUAAGUUGCGAGAUUAUUUUCGCAAUGAGUACUCCCGCCAUUUAAACCAUCUUUAAACUGCUCGACUGCAGAUUUAAGCUUAAUAAAUAAUAGUUUUCCGCACAAGUUGCCCCAUUGUGUCCGCUCUGCUUGGGGGCAAUUCCGAGUUGAUUCAGUGCAUCAUAAGCAGGGACAAUGUUAUUGACGUUGUGGAACCGAUGUGGUCUCUCCUGGGCAGCCGCAGCCCAGAAAGAAGACCGCAAUUAAGUGCAUAUAAAUUUCGCAAUUUUACGAUCUUCGCUCUUAUAAAAAUGCUCACUCUAUGGCCACAGUUACAGUCACAGCUGCCAAAGGAGCACCCAAAAGACCAGGUCUCAAAGGCAUUAAAUGCGGCGAUUUAUGUCCACGUGUUCGAACUGGCGGAAAAUAUGAGCAAAAUGCAUUCGUGACCGAAACGAGGAUGCCCGCUGUUUUUCUAUUGCUAAUUAGCCGUGACAUUGUUUAGCUACGGGCCAUGAACUUUUUCACAAAAACGCGACUAGACAAGUGUUACUACUAAGAGACCAAAAAACUUUAAGCAACAGAACAUAUUUUAGAUUGUAGUAGUAGUAUUCUACCAUUUCCUCCUCUUUUUUUGUGUGCAAAACCGGAUUAAAAACCCUUGGCAAAUAUGCCCUUCCACGGGGCUUAUCUUAAUUUUUGCAUUUAAUAACCGCAUUGCGGCUGAAACGAGCCGGCAAACUGCCACCGGUCAGUCAGUUGGGCAGCGAUCGCAACGGGCGGCCAUUUAGCUUAAUAUGGCCAAGUAAAUUCUUGGCCAACUAUCCGGAGGUGUGAAGAAAAGUGUCGACUUGUUAAGCUGCGGCCACAGCGGGCCCAGACAGAUAGCCACCACCACCACCAGAGCUCUGGACAGGAUCGCCUGAGUUGCGAGCGCAUUUCUCGGAAACAACGCGCUCGAUUCGUGGAAGCAAUAAAUAAGAAGCUUUAUUCCCUUUUUUUCCGGCACAAGGACGACAUGGCGAAAAAAGGGCCGACGGACCAACACCACCGCCCUGUCGCACUCAAUUAGCGAACGCGAACGCGAGUCGCGCGCGUUUUUGGCGCGGCGAAAUCCGUUUGAUUUUCAUCUUGGCCAACUUAACGAUCGGCGUGCGGUUUUCUUGUUGAAGCAAAUUAACUAGACUGGUCUAGAGAUUAUCAACACCCAGCUACUCCUUUCCGCUGGCUGUCAACACUCAGCAUUGUCUUUGCGAAUGAAAUCCAGACGAACAAUGGCUGGAAAAUAAUAUACAAGUUGCCUAUAAAGUGCCUGCUUAAGCUUUGAUGAGCUUAGAGCCAUAAACAACAUAAUGGUAGCUGCUCUAUAAAACAAAAUACGUGGCCAAGUGGAAUAGAGCUGAAAUUAAACUCCCCCCAUUCGAGCCAAUUCAAUUUGGGGAUUCCAACGAACUCUGUGUACACUUUAUGGGCAAAAGUCAUUCAAAGCGGUUGUUAAAACCGAAAUUUGUUUUCUUAAUUAGUUCGGGCAGCUAAAAUUUAAUUAAAUUUAAAGUGGGAGCGAAUAAUGCAGCAGAUU